rnacentral:rRNA from 1 species
GACGAACGCUGGCGGCGUGCUUAACACAUGCAAGUCGAACGGAAAGGUCUUUUCGGGGGUACUCGAGUGGCGAAAGGGUGGGUAACACGUCGGUGAUCUGCCCUUCACUCUGGGAUAAGCCUGGGAAACUGGGUCUAAUACCGGGUAGGACCGCACUUUAGUGUGUGUGGUGGCAAGCUUUUUCGGUGUAGGUUGAGGCCGCGGCCUAUCAGCUUGUCGGUGGGGUAUUGGCCUACCAAGGCGGCGACGGGUAGCCGGACUGAGAGGUUGGUCGUCCACAUUGGGACUGAGAGUGGGCCCAGACUCCGACGGGUGGGAGAAGUGGGGGAGAUUGCACAAGGGGAGCGAGCCUGAUGCAGCGGCGCCGCGGGGGGGAGGACGGUCUUGGGGUUGGAAUCGCCUUUCGCUAGGGACGAAGCGUUUUGUGACGGUACCUGGAGAAGAAGCACCGGCUAACUACGUG